rnacentral:rRNA from 1 species
AACGAACGCUGGCGGCAUGCCUAACACAUGCAAGUCGAACGAGACCUUCGGGUCUAGUGGCGCACGGGUGCGUAACGCGUGGGAACCUGCCCUUAGGUUCGGUAUACCUCCCCGUAAGGUGUGCUAAUACCGGUUAAUGUCUUCGGACCAAAGAUUUAUCGCCUUUGGAUGGGCCCGCGUUGGUUUAGCUAGUUGGUAGUGUAAAAGCCUACCAAGGCGACGUUCCAUAGCUGGUCUGAGAGGAUGAUCAUCCACACUGGGACUGAGACACGGCCCAGACUGCUACGGGAGGCAGCAGAGGGGAAUAUUGGAAAAUGGGCGAAAGCCUGAUCAAGCAAUGCCGCGUGAGUGAUGAAGGCCUUAGGGUAGUAAAGCUCUUUUAAACGGGAUGAUAAUGACAGUACCGGGAGAAUAAGCACCGGCUAACUCCGUG